AUGACGCUCCACAUUCUCUCGGCCAUUGCCCUUAAUGCCACCACCCUUCGUCGGGCCAACCGGGUGAUCCGCGACUUUCUUUGGCAUGGGCGGAAGGACGUGGCUGCUGGCAACUGUCCCGUGGCCUGGCGGAAGGUGUGCAUGCCGACACAGCUUGGCGGCCUCGGUGUGUGCGACCUACAGAGAGUCGACAUCGCCCUUUGAGUCCGGUGGCUCUGGCUUCAAUAUACAGACCCUUCCCGCCCUUGGGGCCAUCUCCAGCUGCAACAUGACGCCGAGGUCCGGGCCAUCUUACGCGCCUCAACUAGCUGGGUGCUCGGCGAUGGGCACUCCUGCCGCUUCUGGACCGACCAUUGGAUCCAGGGCCAAUGCGUCGCUGAGUCCGCGCUUUCUGUCUUCGCCUUGGUC
rnacentral:rRNA from 1 species